rnacentral:rRNA from 1 species
UACACUCCUGCGGGAGGCAGCAGUGGGGAAUAUUGCACAAUGGGCGCAAGCCUGAUGCAGCCAUGCCGCGUGUAUGAAGAAGGCCUUCGGGUUGUAAAGUACUUUCAGCGGGGAGGAAGGCGAUAAGGUUAAUAACCUUGUCGAUUGACGUUACCCGCAGAAGAAGCACCGGCUAACUCCGUGCCAGCAGCCGCGGUAAUACGGAGGGUGCAAGCGUUAAUCGGAAUUACUGGGCGUAAAGCGCACGCAGGCGGUCUGUCAAGUCGGAUGUGAAAUCCCCAGGCUCAACCUGGGAACUGCAUUCGAAACUGGCAGGCUAGAGUCUUGUAGAGGGGGGUAGAAUUCCAGGUGUAGCGGUGAAAUGCGUAGAGAUCUGGAGGAAUACCGGUGGCGAAGGCGGCCCCCUGGACAAAGACUGACGCUCAGGUGCGAAAGCGUGGGGAGCAAACAGGAUUAGAAACCCCUGUAGUCCCA